rnacentral:misc_RNA from 1 species
GAGCUGAGAUAAAUCGUCGUCGAAUUGAAAGAGAUAAGCCCCAGCGAGCUGAGAUAAAUCGUCGUCGAAUUGAAAGAGAUGAGCCCCGGCGAUCUGAAAUAAAUUGUAAUCAAAAUGAAAGAAAUCAGGCUAGGUGAGAACUUAAUAGGUAUAAUAUGCAUCGCAUAGCAAGAAAUAAUAUUGCUAUAGAGAGUAACUACCUCAGAGAAUUAAACCAUAAUUGUCAGUAUUGCAGUGCAAAGAAGUUUUUAAAUGAAACUCAUUUUUUGUGCUGCCAUUCAAGAAAAGUUGUAUUAGCUCCUCUUUCUCUUUAUCCGCCAUUGUUGACUGGUUUAAUGACAGGAAACCAUGUUGAUCAUGCUGUAAAUCAAAAUUUUUUUAAACACAUAAGGAGUUAUAAUUCCUCUUUAUCUUUUGCUUCCUUCACUGCCGAAAUAGCUCCUCCCUCAAAUAAUGGCCCUUUCUGUUUUAGGGUCUGUGGGCAAAUUUUGCAUCGUGUUGGAAAUUUAAGGCCUGCAGAAGGUUGUCUGCCCAAAUAUUGUCAGCUGUAUAUCUAUGAUCCUAAUGCAGCUUAUUACAUUGAUUGAUUGUUUUUAUUGCAUUUUUAAUUUUCUUUUAUUUAUCUCAGCUGCUGCUUCUUCUGUUACAAGCUCGAAGUCAUGGGAAGAUUUCCGAAAGUAUCGCUCCCAGCAUCCAGGCCCUCUAUCUAUGAGGGCCUUCCAUCGCUGGUGUUUGUAUGGGGACGACCAUCCCUCCUUUAGAUGGAGGGAUGGCACACCAUACAACACGGGGAAUAGAGCGGAUGCUGGGAGGAGAAGACAACGUGGCUCAAAAGUUGUCAAUAAUUUUUUUACAUUUUAAAAUGUAAAGAAAUUGACAACUUUUGAGCCACUUCAUUUUUUUUUGUAAAAUAUUUUUGUAAAUUUAUUUUUGUUGUUUUUUAAUUUUUCCCAUGAAUGUUAAAUGUUAUCAAAGUAAAUCAUUUAAAUAAAGACACCUUUAUCAACAAUGCUCAUUAACUAGAAAUAAAAGUCACGGUCAUACAUUUGAUAAAGUUAAUGUUAAUCUCAAAGGGAUUUGGUUUUCACACAAUCAAAUUCUAUGUAGCACCUUCCAGAACUAAGAAUAUAAGUGUGUGGUGUUAGUAGUUUAAAAUAUGUAUAAUAAACUCAGAAUAACUCAAUAACUCUCAACAAAACUAUGAACUAAUUUUGAAAUUCAAGUUGAGCUUUUUUAUUCAUUAAUACCUCCCCUCCCAAUAACUCUAAU